rnacentral:rRNA from 1 species
CGGUAAUUCCAGCUCCAAUAGCGUAUACUAACGUUGUUGCAGUUAAAAAGCUCGUAGUUGGAUUUCUGACGGCCUUAGCUCAGCUCGACUCCCUGAGUCGUUGUCUGUCUGAGGUAGUCAACAUUUGGCGUGGACCAGUGUCGGGCUUUUAUUAGCACGUGCUGGCGAUCGUCUCGUUUACUUUGAGAAAAUUAGAGUGUUCAAAGCAGGCUUCGCCUUGAAUAUGUUAGCAUGGAAUAAUGACAUAGGACUUUGGUUCUAUUUGUUGGUUGUUCGAGAACUAGAGUAAUGAUUGAUAGGGACGGUUGGGGGCAUACGUAUUCCGGGGCGAGAGGUGAAAUUCUUGGACCCCCGGAAGACGAACCGCUGCGAAAGCGUUUGCCUAGGACGUUCUCUUUAAUCAAGAACGAAAGUUGGGGGAUCGAAGACGAUCAGAUACCGUCGUAGUCUCAACUAUAAACUAUGCCAGCUAGGGAUCGGCGGAUGUUUUUUGAACGACUCCGUCGGCACCUUACGAGAAAUCAAAGCAUUUGGGUUCCGGGGGGAGUAUGGUCGCAAGGCUGAAACUUAAAGGAAUUGACGGAAGGGCACCACCAGGAGUGGAGCCUGUGGCUUAAUUUGACUCAACACGGGAAAACUUACCAGGUCCGGACAUAGUAAGGAUUGACAGAUUGACAGCUCUUUCUUGAUUCUAUGGGUGGUGGUGCAUGGCCGUUCUUAGCUGGUGGAGUGAUUUGUCUGGUUAAUUCCGUUAACGAACGAGACCCGCGCCUGCUAAAUAGACACAGGCCUUUCUCGGGUUAUGUGACUUCUUAGAGGGACCAUCCUGCGUUUAGCGGAAGGAAGUUGCGGGCAAUAACAGGUCUGUGAUGCCCUUAGAUGUUCUGGGCCGCACACGGGCUACACUGGGGGGUACAACGAGCGUCAUUACCUGACCCGAGAGGGUUGGGCAAUCUUUUCAACACCCUCCGUGAUUGGGAUAGACCAUUGCAAUUGUUGGUCUUCAACGAGGAAUUCCUAGUAGACGCGUGUCAUCAACACGCAUCGAUUACGUCCCUGCCCUUUGUACACACCGCCCGUCGCUCCUACCGAUUGGAUGUUUCGGUGAGCCGUUUGGAGGGGACGACUCAAGGUUCACCCCGAGAGACGUUCCCGAAAUUCUGCAAACCUAAACAUCUAGAGGAAGGAGAAGUCGUAACAAGGUAGCC